rnacentral:rRNA from 1 species
CACGCGGUAAACGAUGAAUACUAGGUGUAGGGGGUAUAGAACCCCCCUGUGCCGGAGCGAACGCAAUAAGUAUUCCGCCUGGGGAGUACGGCCGCAAGGUUGAAACUCAAAGGAAUUGACGGGGGCCCGCACAAGCAGCGGAGCAUGUGGUUUAAUUCGAAGCAACGCGAAGAACCUUACCAGGUCUUGACAUCCAAUACAUCCCACAGAGAUGUGGGGUUCCGCAAGGAAAAGAUUGAGACAGGUGG